CUACGGGGUGCUCCAGUGAGGAAUAUUGCACAAUGGGGGGAACCCUGAUGCAGCAACGCCGCGUGGAGGAUGACGCAUUUCGGUGUGUAAACUCCUUUUAUAUGUCAAGAAAAUGACGGUAGCAUAUGAAUAAGCACCGGCUAACUCCGUGCCAGUAGCCGCGGUAAUACGGAGGGUGCAAGCGUUACUCGGAAUCACUGGGCGUAAAGGACGCGUAGGCGGGUUGGAAGGUCAGGUGUGAAAUCCUACAGCUUAACUGUAGAACUGCACUUGAAACUUCUAAUCUAGAGUAUGGGAGGGGGAGAUGGAAUUAGUGGUGUAGGGGUAAAAUCCGUAGAUAUCACUAGGAAUACCUAAAGCGAAGGCGAUCUCCUGGAACAUUACUGACGCUAAGGCGUGAAAGCGUGGGGAGCAAACAGGAUUAGAUACCCUUGUAGUC
rnacentral:rRNA from 1 species